rnacentral:rRNA from 1 species
UCGGGGAAUUUUGGGCAAUGGGGGAAACCCUGACCCAGCAACGCCGCGUGAAGGAUGAAGUAUUUCGGUAUGUAAACUUCGAAAGAAUAGGAAGAAUAAAUGACGGUACUAUUUAUAAGGUCCGGCUAACUACGUGCCAGCAGCCGCGGUAAUACGUAGGGACCAAGCGUUGUUCGGAUUUACUGGGGCGUAAAGGGUGCGUAGGCGGCAUAUCAAGUCACUUGUGAAAUCUCCGGGCUUAACUCGGAACUGCCAAGUGAUACUGAUGUGCUAGAGUGCAGAAAGGGCAACUGGAAUUCUUGGUGUAGCGGUGAAAUGCGUAGAUAUCAAGAGGAACACCUGAGGCGAAGGCGAGUUGCUAGGCUGACACUGACGCUGAGGUACGAAAGCUAGGGGAGCGAACGGGAUUAGAUACCCACGUAGUCCCUGAGCGGGCUGGCAAGGCGCAU